GAUGAACGCUGGCGGCGUGCUUAACACAUGCAAGUCGAACGGAAAGGCCCUGCUUGCCGGGUACUCGAGUGGCGAACGGGUGAGUAACACGUGGGUGAUCUGCCCUGCACUUCGGGAUAAGCCUGGGAAACUGGGUCUAAUACCGGAUAGGAGCCAUUUUUAGUGUGAUGGUUGGAAAGUUUUUUCGGUGUAGGAUGAGCUCGCGGCCUAUCAGCUUGUUGGUGGGGUAAUGGCCUACCAAGGCGGCGACGGGUAGCCGGCCUGGGAGGGUGGACGGCCACAUUGGGACUGAGAUACGGCCCAGACUCCUACGGGAGGCAACAGUGGGGAAUAUUGCACAAUGGGCGCAAGCCUGAUGCAGCGACGCCGCGUGGGGGAUGACGGCCUUCGGGUUGGAAACUCCUUUCGCUAGGGACGAAGCUUUUUGUGACGGUACCUAGAUAAGAAGCACCGGCUAACUACGUG
rnacentral:rRNA from 1 species